rnacentral:lncRNA from 1 species
GUGUGGUGUGGAAGUGUUUGUUUUUUGCAAUAGAUUUUUGUUGCAGUUUAGGUUUGUAUUUUCUUUGUUUUGUAGUGCUUAUUAUGAAGGUUCGUAGGUUUAUGUCUGUAGGCCAGGCAGGUCAUUAAACUUAACAAAGAAUAAGUAAGUCGGGAGAGGGGAAUAGAAAUCUCCACAUACAUAUUCUUAAAAGCUGUAACACUCACCACAAAGAUCUGCUGAGUGAAGUCUGUGAGACGAACGCACCAAGUCUGGACGCUCUGUCAGGCUACAUUUUACGUUUUUGGGAGUGAGCAGGUGUUAUUCUGUUCCCCGGGUUGGUUUUGAAGUCAUGGCUCUCAAGUAAUUUUUGUGCUUCUCAAAAGUGCUGGAAUUGCAAAGAUCAACAUCAAAAGCUACAAACUGGAAACAGAGGAAGAUACUAGCCCCGUGUUUCUGAUUCAGUAUCACUGAAAUACUUUGGAACCAUAUAAAGGGCAAAGUACAUUCCACAUGUUGAAGGACAGUGCCUGGCCCUGUGGGGUGUCAUCCCCAAGCUGUAGGCAUAGUGGCAACCCAGGGGUUCAUCUCAACUCCCAUCAGAGUUCAAACAUUGAAUUAGUUGUGCAAUGGAAGGAGUAUUACCAGGACCCAGAUGCAGCCCAAGGAAAAAAGAAAACAAAAGGAGACACACACAGACACCAGAGCAUGAUGCAAGUGUGGCUUAAUCGGUGCUUGCACAUUGGGCUUGUUCUUUCCAAACCUGUUGCCCCGAUUCUGCAAGGCUAUCCUGCUGUAGAAGGAGGCCCUGGAGGACAAGACACCAUGUGGGGAAAACAGCCAUGGGGAGCAGAACCGAGGUAUCCCAGCUUAGCUCCCAACUGACAGCAGCCACAUGAGUGAGCAGAAAAACAACUUCCAAGGGUGAUUUAGCUACUGCUGCUGUGGAAUGUCAAAACUUUCAGCAAGGGAGCCCGAUGCAGAUCUGUUGAUAUGACACCAUUCCACAAGAAGACCAACUGAUGGCUUUGUGGCAAGUUGACUACACUGGGCUGUUUCUAUUCUGGGAAGACAGAGAUUUGUUCUAAGAGGAAUAGGCAUGUGUUGCAGGCAUAGGUUGACCUUUCCUGCCAUGGAGCCUCCUCUGGUACCACUAUUUGAAGGUUGAAGGAAUGUUGAUUCACCAGGAUUGAGUCAGACCAGCCAAGCCUAUGACCAUGAUGUCAACUGACUGUAUCACCUGUCACAUCAUCCAGAAGCUACAGACUUAUAAGGCAUUGGAAUAACUUGUAGAUGGCCCCGUUAAAGUACCAGCUUAGAGGCAACACUCCAUGAGAAUGAGACAUCAUCUCCAGGAUGGCACAUACACAUUGAAUCACACAGCAUUGAUAAGGAGAUGGCUCCCCAGUAGGAAGAAUAUAUUGGUCAUGAACCAAGGGAUGAAGCAGAAGUGUCUUGCUUCCUGUCCCUGCAGCCUCUCUUUCUGCAGUGCUAGAAAUCCUGGUCAAAAGGGGGCAUAAUUUUAUCAGGGGACACAGCAAAAGUCUCCACUACAUUGCAGCUAUGCCUGCUGCCUGGGGAUUUUGGGCUUCUUAUAAUUGGGACCAGCAAUAAAAGAGAAGAGUCACAGUCUUGGCAGGGCUAAUUGACCCUGAUCAGCAGGAGAAGAAAGGCUGUGGUUCCACUAUGAGGGUAGGGAAGACGUGUGGCACCACUGAUCCACUUUUGCAACCCAUGGUACUCCCGUGGCCAGUUGUGAUGACAGACAAGUGCAGGAACACUUUUGGGAAGGGCAUGGUGGCCAGAGUUCAGACCCCAUGGGAAUGAGGACCAGGGUCACACCACUGGAUAAGCCAGGAGGAAGAGAGGCCCACUGGAAGGCUGGAGGAGCUGCUCCCCAGAUGUAGAUGAAGUAGAUUUGAGCAGCACAGUGGUGGACCUAGUAGAGGCGGACAUCAAGAUCCUCUUCAAGGAAAGAUUAUCAAUAUAGUUUUCCCUGACCCAGGUGCCAUGUGUUUUCUGUCAUAUUCACGUAUGCUAAUACAUAAUUGUGCAAGUGGGGUAAUAUCUGGGACACUUCAUGGUUCAUAUCAAAACACAGAGUGAAGAGAACAUCCUCUGGGCCAUCUCAGAGUGUGAGUUUGGGGCGGGGGUGGCUCCUGGUUAACAUUUCUGUCCACUGCAGCAUUCCUUUUCCCUUUUGCUUUUAGAUUCUUCCCUUGACAUCACACCAGGAAAGUCUGACAACUUAACUUUAUUGGAUAUAGGCAACCGUUGAAUCCAAGUUUUGCCCACUGAAUCCAUCAAAUUGUUACAGCCAAUUCUAGAUGCCUGAGUGGACACAUGAAAUCCAGAUUCCCCAGUAAGCGCAUCCCCAUUAAUAAACUGACCAAAUGCAAUGUUAAUCUGUUCUAUAACCUUUAGAAUCCAUCCCAACAUAUAUUUUUUAGGUUCCUGCCAAGAUAUGUUAGCAAAAGCUUGCAAUUUUUUGAAAAAUGAAUUAUCUCUUCCUGGGACAUGUGUUGUACUUUUCUCUCUGAAAUAGGCUGAGCUCUGACUCCAUUAAAAGUCUGAAAGCAAUGAAGAGUGAAGGAGCGGAUAUUGGGGAGA